rnacentral:misc_RNA from 1 species
GCUUCAUCCUGUAACAAGUUUCUGCAUCCAAAAAGAAGAGGCCCAUAAAAUCAUUUCCAGAUUAACUGUGUGUAAGCAAAUAUUAGUCUUUUAUUUCUUCUUCAAGUAUGAUAUAUUGAAGUAUUAACCAAAGAAAUGUAUGAGAGCAUAUUACAUAUACAAGAAACCCCCAGGGUUUUGAUUAAUCAACGCUUUGGAUCUUACUAUUUAAUAAAAAAAGGACUUCAGGUUUUGUGUUUUGUUAAUAGCAUAAUGCCUUAAUCACUGAGGUAAAAUAAUAUCCGACUUUUUAUAAAAUUUCAGUCAAUAACUAUUAA